rnacentral:rRNA from 1 species
GACAAGGGAGACGAGUGUUAUUCAUCUUUACCAGGUAUAUAGGGUACCUAGACGGUGUACAAGGCUUUAAAAGUACCUGAUACACUAGAGUUUGAUAUGUGAGAGGUUGUCAGAAUUGUUGGUGGAGAAAUAAAAUCCUUUGAUACCAGUAAGACGGGUAACGGCGAAGGCAAACCUUUAUGUACAAGUACUUUUUUUUAAGGUCGGAGUAGUAGAAGAUAGUUUUUAUUUUUUAUGUAAUUCUCUUAUAAUCUACUAGAUUAUCACCUUCAAGUGCUAUAACUGACGUUGAGGGACGAAGGCUCAGGGAGUGAAGAGG